rnacentral:rRNA from 1 species
GAUCAUGGCUCAGGAUGAACGCUGGCGGCGUGCUUAACACAUGCAAGUCGAACGAAGCGAUUUUGCGGAAGUUUUCGGAUGGAAGCAGAAUUGACUGAGUGGCGGACGGGUGAGUAACGCGUGGGUAACCUGCCCCAUACAGGGGGAUAACAGUUAGAAAUGACUGCUAAUACCGCAUAAGCGCACGAGAUCGCAUGAUUUUGUGUGAAAAGCCGAGACGGUAUGGGAUGGGCCCGCG